rnacentral:lncRNA from 1 species
UGGCCAGUCUCCUGAAGGUGCACCUGCAGCUGCAUGGCUUCAGUGUCUUCAUUGAUGUGGAGAAGCUGGAAGCAGGCAAGUUCGAGGACAAACUCAUCCAGAGUGUCAUGGGUGCCCGCAACUUUGUGUUGGUGCUAUCACCUGGAGCACUGGACAAGUGCAUGCAAGACCAUGACUGCAAGGAUUGGGUGCAUAAGGAGAUUGUGACUGCUUUAAGCUGCGGCAAGAACAUUGUGCCCAUCAUUGAUGGCUUCGAGUGGCCUGAGCCCCAGGUCCUGCCUGAGGACAUGCAGGCUGUGCUUACUUUCAACGGUAUCAAGUGAGCCCCAGGGCCCUGGGACCAGGGGGGUAGGGUACAAAUCACCAUGACAGGCAGAGUGUGGGCAAACAGCUGACUAGCAGCUCCCUCUGCCCAGCUGUCUGAACCACAUUGGCUCCUGUGCCCACAGGUGGUCCCACGAAUACCAGGAGGCCACCAUUGAGAAGAUCAUCCGCUUCCUGCAGGGCCGCUCCUCCCGGGACUCAUCUGCAGGCUCUGACACCAGUUUGGAGGGUGCUGCACCCAUGGGUCCAACCUAACCAGUCCCCAGUUCCCCAGCCCUGCUGUGACUUCCAUUUCCAUCGUCCUUUCUGAAGGAACAGCUCCUGAAACCAGUCUCCCUGGGCUGAGACAACCUGGGCUCUUCUUAGGAAAUGGCUCUCCCUCCCCCUGUCCCCCACCCUCAUGGCCCACCUCCAACCCACUUUCCUCAGUAUCUGGAGAGGGAAGGGAAGUCAGGCUUGGGCACGGGAGGUUAGAACUCCCCCAGGCCCUGCCAUUGGGUUGUCUGUCUCCGUCAUGGGGAGGGUCCCUGCUCAGUUCUGGAGACACUGGAGUUGGGGUGGGGGUGGUUCUGCAUUCCCUUCUCCUGCUGAUAGCAGUCAGCUUGAGGAGGAUGACGGAAGGCAGCCUCAGACAGGAAUUAAGGCAAUGCCCAGGCGGGCCUGGGCACUGUAUUCUGAGCAAGGGCCUGGGCCCAGGAGCCAGCCAGGGAUGAGUGCCAUCAUGGCUCUCCACUCAGACUGUGCCUGGCCCCUGCACUUACAACUUCCUGCCGCUCUGUGGCCUUGCCC